AAUAUUUACUACAGUUUAGUUUAU
rnacentral:rRNA from 1 species